UCCAGUCUGGGUGACAGAGCGAGACUCCAUCUCAACAACAACAACAACAAAAGACAACCAAAGGCAAAAAAACAAAAAACAAAAAACCGAUCCUAUACUCAUUGCUCCCAGUCUACUAAAGCAGAAAGAAAACUGGACUGGGUGUUAGGUGACAUGAACUCCAGUCCCAGCUCUGCAGGCCCCCAGGGUUUUCUGGCCUCUGUUUCUUUUCCUAUAAAGUGGGGUAACAUAGUGGCUGGCCCGGUUAUUUCAAGAAGAGAAUGUGAGAUUGCAGAGAGAGCGUGGGCUUUCUGGUGUCAGAACCAGUUUCUAAUGAGGAAAAAUGACUUGCCUACUCGGAGCCUCACUUUCUUCAUCUGUUAAGUUAUAGAGGAAAAGAAAAUAUGGGAUAUAUAAGUGUGCAAUGCCUGUCAGCUGCCAGAAGUGCAACAAAUAUUAAAUCCCUUCUCUGCUCAAAAGGCUGUGAUGGAAAUUAAAAAGCCCCUUCUCAGUAAGGCCCUCUGGACACCCAAUCUGAAAUGUCAGGCCCCUCCCCCUUUUCUCCUUAUUGCGGAUCACUGUCUAGAAUUUGACUUCUAUAUCUGGCUUACCGUCUCUCCCUCGGUGAAGGGCUAUGCCAUGAGGCCGGGAAUUUGUAUCCGGCUGGCUCACUAAUGUAUCUGUGGUGCCUAGACCAGCGCCUGGGACAUGAAUCUUCGUCUAGUGCAUGGACCAGCAGUGCUUUAGAUAUUAUGCUAUUGUGUUAUCAGAAUCCAUUUCUUCCACACCUCUGAAGCCAGAAUAAUGCACACGGAGAGGUUUUAAAGCUGUGGAAAAGCAGAGCCCUAGAAGCAAACAGCCCAGGCUGAGGCUUUGGGGACAACAGGAGACAAAAGAAUACUUGAUGAUUUCAUAGUGGGAAGCAUGGAGAAUUAACGUAAUCAAGAGCUGCGAGGCAAUAAGAGGAGAGUCUUGGGCAGCCCUCAAAUAGAAUAUUAUUCCUCCUCCUCUCUCCACCUUACCCCAGGUACAAGAGAUGAAUCCUGUUCCUCCAUAAGCCAGCUGAUGCCAUGACACAGCUGUCCAUGCAGUCCCCAAAAUUUAUCCCAACUGCCUUCCUCAUGCUCAGCUUCCAGGCUGCUCAUUUCCUUGGCUUAUUCACCCUGCAUCAGUUUCUAGUGUGGUCCAGUCUCCAGGAUCAACACAGUCAGUUUGGGAUUCUCUAUUCAAGCUCUGAUAUUGAUUUCAUAUUCGCCCUCUAACUUCAGGCACUCACUUGGAUCAGGGACACCCUACAGUCUGAGCCGCUCUCAGGGAGAGAGUGGAACAGAACAUGAGUUUGAAGUCAGGUGGCUCUGGGUUCCAACACUGAGUCCUUGAAUCACUAGGCUUUGCUAUCUUGGUCAAUUUACCUGACCUCAGCUUUCCUAUUUGUGAGAUACAAAGAGAAAUAUUAUAUUGUAAGCUUGUUGUCAGCAGUGAUUCUCAAAGUUUGGUCUUUGGAACAUCAAUCCCAUGAGAUGGAAAAGGGUUUUGGCAAAUGAUUUUUUUGAGUUUGGCAAAUGCUCAAUAACAUAUCUUCAUCUUGGGAAUUCUCAAAUAACAAAAGAAUGGGUUCCACUUUCAUUAACUCAGUUUUUCUAAACAACAGAAUCCUUUUUGCAAGGAAUACCUGUUAGCAUCCUGCAGAAUCAAUGUUUUGUGUAAUCCAUGGUGGGGAAAGCUGCUUGGGAAGAUUAGAAAUGCUCAACACCAGGCCCUCUGCUCGGCUCCUGGCACAUGCAUCGUGGACACCAGGAAGCGUGAGCCCCCGUUGCAUUUCUUCCUAAUGUCAGUCCUCAGAACACAGCAAGUGGAAGUUCACCAACAGCCCCACGUUCCUGGAGGUGCUGGAGGAGUUCCUGUCCCUGCAGGUGUCUGCUGGCUUCCUGCUCUCCCUGCUCCCCAUUCUGAAGCCCAGGUUUUACUCCAUCAGCUCCUCCCAGGAUCACACGCCCACGGAGAUCCACCUGACUGUGGCUGUGCUUAUGUACCACACCCGAGAAGGCCAGGGUCCCCUGCACCACGGCCUCUGCAGCACACGGCUCAACAACUGAAGCCCCAAGACCCAGUGUCCUGCUUUGUGCGGAAGAGUGUGGGGAGGCCCCAUGACCCCGGUGUUCGAGUGCCACAGCUCAAAUGAGGACCCCAUCUAGCAGGAGGAGAUGCUGGAGAUGGCCCAGAAGGGGUGCUGCCUGCAGCGCCCACAGCCUAUUCCUGCCUGCCUGGCAAGCCCAAGAGCCAGAAGCACUUUCAUGACGAUAUCUUUGGUGCUGUAUUUCCCUACGAGGCGAAGAAGGAGGGGGCGGCGGUGCAGCCCAGCAGCCUGGAGAUGUCAGUGCUCUGAGGGCCCACAGGAGGGGUUAAAGCUGCCAGCACAGAACUUAACGAUGCAGCCAGCUCUGCAUUAUCCGAGGUCACAGGGCCUGGGGAGUUGGAGGAAAGGGAUAUCCCCCAGCCUCACGUCUUAUUUCUCACCUCGUUCCCCAUCAAGCCCUUUACUUGACCACCUACCAAGUAGCACCCUGGAUUGAUCGGAGCCUCCUCUCUCAAGCUGGGGCCUCCCUGGUCCCUUGGAGAUGAAAUCUUCAAUGCCAGGCCUGGCAAGUGGGUGAAAGAUGGAACCCGCUGCUGAGUGCACCACUUCAAGUGACCACCUGGAGGUGCUGUGUAUUUAACUGCCUUCGGCAAAUUAUUUAUGCCUCUGUUUAAAAAACGAGCACCCUAUUCUGUUCCCAACGGCCACUUGGGUCUUCUCUGUAUGAUUCUUUGAUGGAGACAUUUACAUGAAUUGAAUUUUACUUUAA